rnacentral:rRNA from 1 species
CUGCAUGGCUGUCGUCAGCUCGUGUCGUGAGAUGUAGGUUAAGUCCCGCAACGAGCGCAACCCCUAUCUUUAAUUGCCAUCAUUCAGUUGGGCACUUUAGAGAGACUGCCGGUGUUAAGCCGGAGGAAGGUGGGGAUGACGUCAAGUCCUCAUGGCCCUUAUGGGUAGGGCUUCACACGUAAUACAAUGGUCGGUACAGAGGGUUGCCAACCCGCGAGGGGGAGGCCAAUCCCAGAAAACCGAUCGUAGUCCGGAUUGCAGUCUGCAACUCGACUGCAUGAAGUCGGAAUCGCUAGUAAUCGCGGAUCAGCAUGUCGCGGUGAAUACGUUCCCGGGCCUU